GAGCACAACUAGAAAGUGCAGAGAAGAUGGAUAUUUUCUAGCAAAUCAAGUGUGAAAUCCAGACAUGAAUUUCUUUGAAAUUUCACUGGGGAUUUUCACAACCAAGGUCAUUGUUUCGUGGCCUCCCUUCCAGGAGGCUCGGCUCUGCUAUUUAGUGUGCCUUACAAUCUGCUUGACUGUCCAGCACACUUUGUCAGCCACAGUCUGAGAAUGGUCAAGUCUUUCCAUGCUCCAAGAAGAUCCACUUGAAGUCGAUGGUACCAUUGAAGAUUGGAGAGAGAAGCGGGUUGUCCAAUAUCACAUAGCUAAACUAUGAAACAAUA